UGUUCUGUGGCUUAGUUUGUUAGAGCGCUGGACUAACGUUACGAAGUCGUGAGUUCGAAUCCCACCAAAAAAG
rnacentral:tRNA from 1 species